ensembl:lncRNA
CCCUGCCCAGGCCAGGCAGCCCAGCGCGGUCCCGGCCGCGCCCGCGAAGCGCCGCAGCCGCUCCUGGGGGCGGGGCAUGCAAAUCAGGCCGCGCGGCGCGCCAAUCAGGGGGCGGCAUGCAGAUCAGGGCGCGCGGCGCGCCAAUCAGAGGGCGGCAUGCAAAUCAGGGCGCAGGGCGCGCGAAUCAUGGGGCGGCAUGCAGAUCAGGGGGCGGGGCGCGCGAAACAGGGAGGGGCAUGCAAAUCAGGCCGCGCGGCGCGCCAAUCAGGGAGCAGCAUGCAAAUCAGGGCGCAGGGCGCGCGAAACAGGGAGUGGCAUGCAAAUCAGGGCGCAGGGCGCGCGAAACAGGGAGUGGCAUGCAAAUCAGGGCGCGCGGCGCGCCAAUCAGGGAGCGGCAUGCAAAUCAGGGCGCAGGGCGCGCCAAUCAGGGAGCGGCAUGCAAAUCAGGGAGCGGGGCGCGCGAAACAGGGAGCGGUAUGCAAAUCAGGGCGCGCGAAUCAGGGAGCGGCAUGCAAAAUCUUGGGGCCAAUCCCCAAAUUGGGUGAUUUUUGGAUAAUUUGGGGGGUUUUUUUUGGGGUGAUUUUGGGGUGAUUUUGGGUGUGAUUUCGGGGUGCUUUUGGGUAUUUUUUGGAAUGAUUUUGGGGUGAUUUGGGGGGUUCUUUUUGGGGUGAUUUUUGGGCUGAUUUGGGGUUUUUUUGGGGGUAUUUUUGGGUGUGAUUUUGGGGUUUUUUGGGGUGAUUUUGGGGGUUUUUUUGGGAUGAUUUGAAGGGUUUUUUGGGUCGAUUUUGGGUUUUUUUGGGGUGAUUUGUGGGUUUUUGGGGUCCCUCACCUCCAGCGUGUCACGGUCGGGGCCGGGGGGGAGGGGCCAGCAGGGGGCGCCCAUCCCCCCCCCGGGGCUCAGCAGCCAAUCCAGGAGCGGGAAACAGCCCUGGGGGCGGGGCCGGAAAAGGGGCGGGGUCAGGAAAGGGGCGGGGCCAAUCAGGGGGGAGAUGACAGAAAUGGGGGAGGGGCUAAAACUGGGGGCGGGGUCACCCCAGGACCCCCAAAAAUGCCUCAGAGCCCUCCCAGUAACUCCCAGUAACUCCCAGUAAGUCCCAGUUGCCCCUCCCAGUGCUCCCAGUGCUCCCAGUUACCCUUUCCAUUGCUCCCAGUCCAAACCGGUUUAUCCCGGUCCCUCCCAGUUCCUCCCAGUAACUCCCAGUGCCCCCCAGUCUGUCCCAGCCCCAUUUCCAGUGCUCCCAGUAGCUCCCAGUCCCACCCAGUUCCCCAUCCCAGUCCAUCCCAGUUUAUUCCAGUUUAUCCCAGUCCCUCCCAGUUUGUCCCAGUCCGUCCCAGUCUCACCCUCAGCUCCCGUUUCAGCCUCUCCUCGUUCCGCACCGGCAGCAGCUGCUCCCGGCCCAGCAGCAGCACCUGGAAACUGGGAUGGACUGGGACAAACUGGGACAAACUGGGAGGGACUGGGAGGGACUGGGAUGGACUGGGACAAACUGGGACAAACUGGGAGGGACUGGGAGGGACUGGGAUGGACUGGGACAAACUGGGAUGAACUGGGAGAA